rnacentral:misc_RNA from 1 species
UCCCCGUUAUCCGGGGCGGUUUCGCCAGAGUGCUCACCAUAACGUGUUAGCAACUGGCAAUAAGGGUUGCGCUCGUUGCGGGACUUAACCCAACAUCUCACGACACGAGCUGACGACAGCCAUGCAGCACCUAUGCAGCAGUCCUUGCGGAAAGGGAUGUUUCCACCCCGGUCCACUGCAUUUCGAGCCCAGGUAAGGUUCUUCGCGUUGCGUCGAAUUGAACCACAUGCUCCACCGCUUGUGCGGGCCCCCGUCAAUUCCUUUGAGUUUCAGCCUUGCGGCCGUACUCCCCAGGCGGAUUGCUUAUCGCGUUAGCUGCGGCACGACGGGAUUGGGUACCCGCCACACCAAGCAAUCAUCGUUUAGGGCUAGGACUAC